AUUGAACGUUGGCGGCAGGCCUAACACAUGCAAGUCGAACGAGUGGCGGACGGGUGAGUAAUGUCUGGGAAACUGCCCGAUGGAGGGGGAUAACUACUGGAAACGGUAGCUAAUACCGCAUACCAUCGGAUGUGCCCUGAUGGGAUUAGCAAGUAGGUGGGGUAACGGCUCACCUGGGCGACGAUCCCUAGCUGGUCUGAGAGGAUGACCAGCCACACUGGAACGAAGACACGUUCCAGCCUCCUACGGAAGACGGCGGUGGGUAAUAUUGCAAAAUGGGGGCAGGCCUGAUGCAGCCAUGCCGCGUGUAUGAAGAAGGCCUUCGGGUUGUAAAGUACUUUCAUCGAGAAGGCGUUACUCGCAGAGAAAGCACCGGCUAACUCCGUGCCAGCAGCCGCGGUAAUAC
rnacentral:rRNA from 1 species